AGCGAACGCUGGCGGCAGGCCUAACACAUGCAAGUCGAACGGAUCCUUCGGGAUUAGUGGCGGACGGGUGAGUAACACGUGGGAACGUGCCCUUUGGUUCGGAACAACUCAGGGAAACUUGAGCUAAUACCGGAUGUGCCCUACGGGGAAAGAUUUAUCGCCAUUGGAGCGGCCCGCGUCUGAUUAGCUAGUUGGUGAGGUAAAGGCUCACCAAGGCGACGAUCAGUAGCUGGUCUGAGAGGAUGGCCAGCCACAUUGGGACUGAGAGACGACCCAGACUCCUACGGGAGGCAGCAGUGGGAAUCUGCGCAAUGGCCGAAAGGCUGACGCAGCGACGCCGCGUGUGGGA
rnacentral:rRNA from 1 species